AUCGGGGCCAAUCAAUAAGUUCUCCAGCUAGCCUUCUAGAGCUCGUGAUGCAACCUGGGAGAUAUUUUAAGUAUGUCAGAAAUAUUUAAUUUUUAAAUUUAUGAUAUAUUUAUAUUUUAUUUAUUAAUACACGCUUCAAUUCAAUCUUGAAGGAGUACUACCGAUUCAAAACUCCCCAGGAUGAGAAGGCUGACUAUCGGACCUUCGAUAAGAUGGCUACACAGAGGUUUUGAGAUGACCUCUAUAGCCUUAAGUAGCCCACCAUCGAGCAUUUCGAUUUUCAGUCACCAUCAAACUAGAGGUCCUAUGGG
rnacentral:lncRNA from 1 species